GGGUGCUUAUCUCAGCUGGGAUUGCUUCGCCAUUACAAGGCGAGGGUCGGGGGUUCGAACCCCUCAGCACCCACCA
rnacentral:tRNA from 1 species